rnacentral:rRNA from 1 species
GAAGCGGCAAAAGCUCAAAUUUGAAAUCUGGCGUCUUUGGCGUCCGAGUUGUAAUUUGAAGAAGGUAUCUUUGGGCCCGGCUCUUGUCUAUGUUCCUUGGAACAGGACGUCACAGAGGGUGAGAAUCCCGUGCGAUGAGAUGACCCGGGUCUGUGUAAAGUUCCUUCGACGAGUCGAGUUGUUUGGGAAUGCAGCUCUAAGUGGGUGGUAAAUUCCAUCUAAAGCUAAAUAUUGGCGAGAGACCGAUAGCGAACAAGUACAGUGAUGGAAAGAUGAAAAGAACUUUGAAAAGAGAGUGAAAAAGUACGUGAAAUUGUUGAAAGGGAAGGGCUUGAGAUCAGACUUGGUAUUUUGCAUGCUGCUCUCUCGGGGGCGGCCGCUGCGGUUUACCGGGCCAGCAUCGGUUUGGAGCGGCAGGAUAAUGGCGGAGGAAUGUGGCACGGCUUCUGCUGUGUGUUAUAGCCUCUGACGAUAC